rnacentral:rRNA from 1 species
CACGAACGCUGGCGGCAGGCUUAACACAUGCAAGUCGAGCGCCCCGCAAGGGGAGCGGCAGACGGGUGAGUAACGCGUGGGAAUCUACCCAUCUCUACGGAAUAACGCAUGGAAACGUGUGCUAAUACCGUAUACGUCCUUCGGGAGAAAGAUUUAUCGGAGAUGGAUGAGCCCGCGUUGGAUUAGCUAGUUGGUGGGGUAAAGGCCUACCAAGGCGACGAUCCAUAGCUGGUCUGAGAGGAUGAGCAGCCACACUGGGACUGAGACACGGCCCAGACUCCUACGGGAGGCAGCAGUGGGGAAUAUUGGAAAAUGGGCGCAAGCCUGAUCCAGCCAUGCCGCGUGAGUGAUGAAGGCCCUAGGGUUGUAAAGCUCUUUCACCGGUGAAGAUAAUGACGGUAACCGGAGAAGAAGCCCCGGCUAACUUCGUGCCAGCCGCCGCCGUAACAC